UACGAAGGGGGCUAGCGUUGUUCGGAAUUACUGGGCGUAAAGGGCGCGUAGGCGGCGUGUCAAGUCAGGCGUGAAAGCCCCGGGCUCAACCCGGGAACCGCGCUUGAGACUGGCAUGCUCGAGUUCGGGAGAGGAUGGUGGAAUUCCCAGUGUAGAGGUGAAAUUCGUAGAUAUUGGGAGGAACACCGAUGGCGAAGGCGGCCAUCUGGACCGACACUGACGCUGAGGCGCGAAAGCGUGGGGAGCAAACAGG
rnacentral:rRNA from 1 species